rnacentral:rRNA from 1 species
UACGUAGGGACCAAGCGUUGUUCGGAUUUACUGGGCGUAAAGGGCGCGUAGGCGGCGCGGUAAGUCACUUGUGAAAUCUCUGAGCUUAACUCAGAACGGCCAAGUGAUACUGCAGUGCUAGAGUGUGGAAGGGGCAAUCGGAAUUCUUGGUGUAGCGGUGAAAUGCGUAGAUAUCAGGAGGAAUACCGAUGGCGAAGGCAGGUCUCUGGGCUGACACUGACGCUCAUGCACGAAAGCGUGGGGAGCAAACAGG